AGGCCGAUAGCUCCAACGGUUAGAGCACUGGUCUCCAAAACCGGGUGUUGGGAGUUCGAAUCUCUCUCGGCCUG
rnacentral:tRNA from 1 species